GACGAACGCUGGCGGCGUGCUUAACACAUGCAAGUCGAACGGUGAACGAGGGAGCUUGCUCCCCCCGGAUUAGCGGCGAACGGGUGAGUAACACGUGAGCAACCUGCCUCUAACUCUGGGAUAACCGCUGGAAACGACGUCUAAUACCGGAUACUACGCGGGACGGCAUCCUCCCCUCGUGGAAAGCACUUCGGUUCGAGAUGAGCGGGCGGCCUAUCCGCUUGUUGGUGAUGUAACGGCUCACCAAGGCGAAGGCGGGUAGCCGGCAUGCGAGGGUGACCGGCCACACUGGGACUGAGACACGGCGCAGACUCCUACGGGAGGCAGCAGUGGGGAAUAUGGCAGAAUGGGCGCGAGCCUGAUGCAGCAACGCCGCGUGAGGGACGACGGCCUACGGGGUGUAAACCUCUUUUUGCAGGGAAGAAGCGAAAGUGACGGUACCUGAAGAGAAAGCACCGGCUAACUACGUG
rnacentral:rRNA from 1 species